CAUUAGGAUGGCUACUAUGAAAAACAAAACCAGGAAAUGACAAGUGUUGGUGAGAUGAGCAGCAGUUGGAAUCCCUGUGCACUAUUGGAGGGAGCGUACAAUAGUGGAACCACUAUGGAAAACGAAGGAAACACGAGAACUGGAACAAUAAAAAACUUUCAUUGGAGUGCAGAACACAGUGAUAACCAUGAAGGAAAAAAGGACAAUCAUGCUAGGAAUUCAACAGAAUUUCAAAGAUUGAAAUAUUUCCCAUAAAAAUCAGGAAUAAAGUUUAAAAUGUUCCAGAUUACAAGGUGGAGAAAAACAAUCUGGUGUGCUGGAGUAAAAGAUACAGAAAAAAAGUGAUGUUUUACUUUAUUUCCACGAUUUGUGCAAUAA